CCCUUAGAUGUCCGGGGCCGCACGCGCGCUACACUGAAGGAAUCAGCGUGGCUUUCUCCCUGACCCGAAAGGGUUGGGAAACCCGUUGAAUCUCCUUCGUGAUAGGGAUUGGGGCUUGAAAUUGUUCCCCGUGGACGAGGAAUUCCCAGUAAGCGCGAGUCAUAAGCUCGCGUUGAUUACGUCCCUGCCCUUUGUACACACCGCCCGUCGCUACUACCGAUUGAACGGUUUAGUGAGGGCCUCGGAUUGGUCUCGGCCCGCUCUUUACCGGGCGGCGCCGUUGGUCGAGAAGACGCUCGAACUUGAUCGUUUAGAGGAAGUAAAAGUCGUAACA
rnacentral:rRNA from 1 species